rnacentral:tRNA from 1 species
GUCAGGGUGGCAGAGCCCGGGUAUUGCAUAAGAUCUAAGCCCUUUAGACAAAGGUUCAAAUCCUUUCUUUGACU